rnacentral:rRNA from 1 species
AACGAACGCUGGCGGCAGGCUUAACACAUGCAAGUCGAGCGCCCCGCAAGGGGAGCGGCAGACGGGUGAGUAACGCGUGGGAACGUACCCUUAUCUUAGGGAUAGCUCCGGGAAACUGGAAUUAAUACCGAAUGUGCCCUUUGGGGGAAAGAUUUAUCGGAUAAGGAUCGGCCCGCGUUGGAUUAGCUAGUUGGUGGGGUAAAGGCCUACCAAGGCGACGAUCCAUAGCUGGUCUGAGAGGAUGAUCAGCCACAUUGGGACUGAGACACGGCCCAAACUCCUACGGGAGGCAGCAGUGGGGAAUAUUGGACAAUGGGCGCAAGCCUGAUCCAGCCAUGCCGCGUGAGUGAUGAAGGCCUUAGGGUUGUAAAGCUCUUUCACCGGAGAAGAUAAUGACGGUAUCCGGAGAAGAAGCCCCGGCUAACUUCGUG